rnacentral:rRNA from 1 species
AUGCACUCCGGCGACGCGUCGACCAGCGAGGAUCCUCGGGCGUGCCGGGGGCCGGCGAGGCGCCGGCGCCUGCGGAGCCGCGUGACCGCCGUCCGGGCGCCGCCGCUCGCCGACGUGCUGCGGGAGCGCGCGCUGGUGCACCUCCCGCCGGCGGCCGCCGCGCGCCUCCGCCUCGUGCACCCGUCCUGGGAGCGCCGGCUCGCGUCCCCGCUCUUCGCCGUGGCGCACGCGGCCGCCCCGCGACGGAUGUCCGGGCUCUUCGUCCCCAAGGCCGGGUUCCUCCCGUUCGACGGGCCCGACGACGCCGUGCCGUCCCCGACGCUCGCCUUCGCCCCGGCCUCGGAGGGGGUCACCGUGCUCUCGUCGUCGCACGGCGUCGCGUGCUGCUACUCGCCGGCCGACGACGCCUUCUUCGUGUGCAACCCGGCCACCGCGUCCUGGGCGCCCGUCCCGUCCCCGCCGUGCCGGACCUGGCCGCGCCCUGCGAUCGUCGUCCUCUUCGACGCCACGCCGUACAACUUCCGCGGCGACUACGCGCUCGUCUGCGCCGCCGAGUGCGCGCCGGGCUCCGGCGCCUACUGCUUCCUGGUGUUCACGUCCGGGACGGGCGAGUGGCGGGCCACCGACGCGGUCGUGCCCGCCGAAGGGCUCGUCGCCGCUUCGGGCGUGGCGGCCGGUGGGACGGCGUGGUGGCGGACGAGCGUCGGCACGGCGGUCGGGUACAGCCCGUUAACGGGGCGCGUCGAGAUGGUACUCUGCCCCGGCGACAGCGGCAUGUGGGAGAUCGGCUCGGCCGGGGGCAAGCUCCACUGCGCCGUGCGUGAUCAUGACAACAGCGUCGCCGUGUUCCGGCUUGACGAGGACGGGAGCUGGGAGGAGGCCGCCGCGAGGGUGCCCGUCGCGGAGCUGCUUCCACGUCCGCUGACAAGGCACGGGAACGGCGAGGCGAGCGGGCAGGAGCUGGUCGCCCAGUCUUCCUUCAUCGUGGAGGAGGAGGUGGUGCGGCUGGACGACGGCGUGCGGCUCCUGGGGUUCCAGGGCGCGGAGCUGGAGGUGGUGGCGCUGGCCGGCAGGCGGCUGGUGGCGUUCGACGUGCGGACGCGGCGGCGGCGCGAGGUCAGGGUGCCGGUGGCUCAAGAAGAAGAAGAAGAGGAAGAGGAAAAGGAGGAGAAACGGUGGGACGGCGCGGAGUACGCCGCGCACACCAACACGCUGGCGCUCGUCGCGCCCGCCGUGCUCGCGGGCGAGCCGAAGCUCGUGGAGGAGCGACCGGACGCCGGAGGGGUCGCAUUUUAUUGA